GAAUGCCCUCAUCCAGAGCAUCAUUAGUUCAGGCUUUAAUAUCAACAGUGCCUCCUCUCUGGUAUCAUUGGGAACACUUAUUGGUGGUGUUCCUUCUACAGCCAUAUCCAUCAUCCCAUCUUCUGAGCUUCUGUCUUUAUCUCAGAAUCCAACAUUCAUUGCUAAUAUUCUAUCAGCCCCAGUUAUUCUACAACAGACAUUUGUCCAAAAGGUAAUCUCUGUAGACCAAACCUCUGUCAUACAAAAUGUUCCGGAUGCACUAGUGAUGUAUAUUCCACUUGUU